GUAGGAGGAGUGACGGGAACCGGGAGCCGGCUCCAUGCGCCUGGAGCGCGCGGGUCCCAGCGCCCAUCGGCCCGGGGUCCGAGGGGCCCGCUGCCCGGGCUCGCUGCGUGGUGCUACCGCCCCCGGGCCCGCUGCGCCGCGUCGGAGCCCCAGCAGACUUUGAGAGGCGUGUGCGACAGUGCGCGUCCUCUCCUGCCUCUGGAUGUUUCCUUGGAGCCUCUGGCCUUCGGGAAGACCGUGCCACUGGGUUAGAGUCUCCCCGACCAAGCUGGUCUCAGCAAGUGGUCUCCAUCAUGGGGGCUCGAAUCCAGGUUGAAGGGUCACCAGAGUGAUGGUUGGAGAACAUGGAACUAGCUGGAGGACACCUGAGUACUCUUAAAGCAAACCCCGUGGCCAAAAUCAAUAACCAAUUUGGAUACCAUCAAGACACCUGAAACCUUAUCAUGAGCCAGAUGCUGAGGAAGAGAUUCCAGGAGGAUCCUGAGGACCCCCUGGUUGCAGCCACGUCGAGGCUGACACUGAGGAGGACCCCAACUGUCAUGAGCAACACCCGUCGAACACAGCCAUCCACCUGGGGACAAAUCAAGAAGCUGUCACAGAUGAUGGAAGAAAACCUGAGGAAAGCGGGACAACCAAUCACAAUGAGUAAUUUGGUGAUCUAUCACAGUGAUGAUCACCAUUGCCAUGAGUAUUCCUUCAACAAGGGCUGACACAGAGAACAAUUAUACUUAUUGGGCAUAUUUAUCAAUCUUGUCUGGCAAUAAUGCCUAGAUGAUUUCACUCUAUGGCACAGUUACACAUGCUUUCUGAUCUCAGUAUUUACCAUAAUAAAUCUGCUCCUAUAAUUGAGGCAUACCACCCUCAAAAACCUAUUUGUAAACAAAAUAGAACCUGGCCAGAAAUAAUGAACAACUUGUUUAGUAAGAUUGCAUUGCAGAACAGGCAGAGAUGCUACGCAAUGAUUCCUAUGGGAUCAUUGAUUGGUCCCCUAAGGGGAUGUUUAGCUUAAAUUGCACCUCUCAGUCUGCAUGCCAUGGCCACACUAGUUCAGAUGGUCUGAACAAAGUGGUCAGAUGGCAGAAAUGAUAAGAAGUAUGGCAAAAGUUCCUAUUGUCUGGAACCAUGGCAGUAUAGUGUCACCUCAACCUCAAAUGAUAUGGCUCAUUGUAGGAGCUAAACAUAAGGAUUUGUGGAAACUAUUAAUAGCUCUUAAUAAGAUCAAAAUUUGGGAAAGAAUAAAAAAAGCAUCUAGAAAGACACUCUACAAACUUGUCUUUGGAUAUUACAAAAUUAAAAGAACAAAUAUUUAAAGCAUCCCAGGUACACCUGACCUUAAUGACAGAAACUGGAGUGCUUGAAGGAGCUGCAGACAGAUUAGCAGCUAGUAACCCAUUAAAAUGGAUAAAAACACUUGGAAGCUCUGUGAUUUCAAUGAUGAUUGUGCUUUUAAUCGGUAUUGUUUGUCUUUGUAUAGUGUGCAGAUGUGGAUCCUGACUCCUGUGAGAAGUAGCUCACAGUGUCAAAGCUGCCUUUGCUUUUAUCGAUUUGCAAAUCAAAUAAGGGGGACAUAUUGGGAACAGCACCCCCCCCCCCAAAAUCUGGCCAUAAACUGGUCCCAAAACUGGCCAUAAACAAAAUCUCUGCAGCACUGACAUGUUCAUGAUGGUCUUAAUGCCCACGCUGGAAGGUUGUGGGUUUACCAGAAUGAGAGCAAGGAACACCUGGCCCACCCAGGGUGGAAAACCACUUAAAGGCAUUCUUAAACCACAAACAAUAGCAUGAGUGAUCUGUGCCUUAAGGCUGUGCUACUGCUGCAGAUAACUAGCCCAACCCAUCCCUUUAUUUCAGCCCAUCCCUUCGUUUCCCAUAAGGGAUACUUUUAAUUAAUCUAAUAUGUAUAGAAAGAAUGCUAAUGACUGGCUUGCUGUUAAUAAAUAACGUGGGUAAAUCUCUGUUGGAGGCUCUCAGCUCUGAAGGCUGUGAGACCCCGGAUUUCCCAC
ensembl:lncRNA PM20D1-AS1 PM20D1 antisense RNA 1